AUGUGUUACUCAUCACCGCCGUUCCUGCGCGCCGUCCACACCCGGCUGACGACUGCUCGCGACGAUGUGUUAGCC
rnacentral:sRNA from 1 species